rnacentral:rRNA from 1 species
AGAGUUUGAUCAUGGCUCAGGAUGAACGCUAGCUACAGGCUUAACACAUGCAAGUCGAGGGGAAACGACAUCGAAAGCUUGCUUUUGAUGGGCGUCGACCGGCGCACGGGUGAGUAACGCGUAUCCAACCUGCCCACCACUUGGGGAUAACCUUGCGAAAGUAAGACUAAUACCCAAUGACGUCUCUAGAAGACAUCUGAAAGAGAUUAAAGAUUUAUCGGUGAUGGAUGGGGAUGCGUCUGAUUAGCUUGUUGGCGGGUAACGGCCGCAAGGCUACGAUCAGUAGGGGUUCUGAGAGGAAGGUCCCCCANAUUGGAACUGAGACACGGUCCAAACUCCGUACGGGAGGCCA